UCCUACGGGGGGCUGCAGUGGGGAAUAUUGGACAAUGGGCGCAAGCCUGAUCCAGCCAUGCCGCGUGAGUGAUGAAGGCCUUAGGGUUGUAAAGCUCUUUCACCCACGACGAUGAUGACGGUAGUGGGAGAAGAAGCCCCGGCUAACUUCGUGCCAGCGGCCGCGGUAAUACGAAGGGGGCUAGCGUUGUUCGGAAUUACUGGGCGUAAAGCGCACGCAGGCGGUUCGGUCAGUCAGAAGUGAAAGCCCCGGGCUUAACCUGGGAACUGCUUUUGAUACUGCCGAGCUUGAAUCACGGAGAGGGUAGUGGAAUUCCGAGUGUAGAGGUGAAAUUCGUAGAUAUUCGGAAGAACACCAGUGGCGAAGGCGACUACCUGGCCGUCGAUUGACGCUCAUGUGCGAAAGCGUGGGGAGCAAACAGGAUUAGAUACCCGAGUAGUC
rnacentral:rRNA from 1 species